rnacentral:rRNA from 1 species
AUUGAACGCUGGCGGCAUGCCUUACACAUGCAAGUCGAACGGCAGCACGGGGGCAACCCUGGUGGCGAGUGGCGAACGGGUGAGUAAUGCAUCGGAACGUGCCCAGUAGUGGGGGAUAACUAGUCGAAAGAUUAGCUAAUACCGCAUACGACCUAUGGGUGAAAGCGGGGGACCUUUACCGGCCUCGCGCUAUCGGAGCGGCCGAUGUCUGAUUAGCUAGUUGGCGGGGUAAAAGCCCACCAAGGCGACGAUCAGUAGCUGGUCUGAGAGGACGACCAGCCACACUGGGACUGAGACACGGCCCAGACUCCUACGGGAGGCAGCAGUGGGGAAUUUUGGACAAUGGGGGCAACCCUGAUCCAGCCAUGCCGCGUGUGUGAAGAAGGCCUUCGGGUUGUAAAGCACUUUCGGCCGGAACGAAAUCGCGCGAUCUAAUAAGUCGCGUGGAUGACGGUACCGGAAGAAGAAGCACCGGCUAACUACGUG